AUGGGAAGAGGUGUGGCUGUGCUCCCCAUGGUCCCGGAGUGCAAGGCCCCCAAAGAAGGCGUCUCCGUGACCCUGGCCUGCUUGGUGACGGGGUCUGACUCAGCCACCUGGCACAUAGGAGCAGAGAAGCUGCCCGCAAAUGACGUUGUGAUUGGGCACUUGAAGCAGAGGGUCACCUACCUCUUCUACCAAACCAUCGUCUGGAAGCCUGGCUCACACAGCUGCAGCGCCGAUCACACGUCCAAGACCUUCCAGUGGCCAGCAUCUUGGAAAACCCAGGCCAUCUCAGUGACCCACAUGACACCUCUCUCAGAGAAACUCACCCCAGCCCCCACCCCAACCAGACACCCAGCUGCCACGAUGCCCAGCAGCCUCACUGUCCAGGUCCUGGACACACCGGGUGCUCACGCCUCUGCCGGGGCGGCCUCCUGGCUCCUGUGCGAGGUGUCGGGCUUCUUGCCCCCAGAGCUGCUCUUCACCUGGCAGGAGGGCUGGCCCCAGGUGGACUCUUCUUGGUUUGCCACCACGGUGCCCACAGCCGAGCCUGGCAACAGCAGGUUGCGCACCUGGGGUGUCCUGUGGGUCCCGGCCGCCCCCGGCCCCCGCCAGCCACCAACACGUGCGAGGUCAGGCCCCGGCCUUGGGGAGGCUGCUCGAUGCCAGCUGGAGCCUGGACACUAUAGGCCUGGCCCCGUCCCUCUGGGGCCCCCUGAGCAUGCAGGAGGACUGUGAUGGCUACGCCAACCUGGAUGAUGCCAGCCGCCUCGGCUUCAUCACCUUCGUCAACGUGAAGGGCAGGGACAUCCUGGGGGUUCACUGGAGCCGGCCAGGGACUGUGCGGAGCCGGGAAACCCGGGCAGGAGGGCAGUGGGCCGUGGGCACUGUCCUGGCCUGA